rnacentral:tRNA from 2 species
GGGCCCAUAGCUUAACCAGGUAGAGCGCCACUCUGAUAAGGUGGAGGUUCUCGGUUCAAAUCCGAGUGGGCCCA